rnacentral:rRNA from 1 species
UAUUUAUUGAGAGUUUGAUCCUGGCUCAGGACGAACGCUGGCGGUAUGCUUAACACAUGCAAGUCGAACGAGAAAGUUUUGAAUGAUCCUUCGGGUGAAAUUAGAACUGGAAAGUGGCGAACGGGUGAGUAACGCGUGGGUAACCUGCCCUAUGGAAAGGAAUAGCCUCGGGAAACUGGGAGUAAAGCCUUAUAUUAUGGUUUUGUCGCAUGGCGAGAUCAUGAAAACUCCGGUGCCAUAGGAUGGACCCGCGUCCCAUUAGCUAGUUGGUGAGAUAACAGCCCACCAAGGCGACGAUGGGUAACCGGUCUGAGAGGGCGAACGGUCACACU